UGGGGAAUUUUGGACAAUGGGCGAAAGCCUGAUCCAGCAAUGCCGCGUGUGUGAAGAAGGCCUUCGGGUUGUAAAGCACUUUUGUCCGGAAAGAAAUCCUUGGCUCUAAUACAGUCGGGGGAUGACGGUACCGGAAGAAUAAGCACCGGCUAACUACGUGCCAGCAGCCGCGGUAAUACGUAGGGUGCAAGCGUUAAUCGGAAUUACUGGGCGUAAAGCGUGCGCAGGCGGUUUGCUAAGACCGAUGUGAAAUCCCCGGGCUCAACCUGGGAACUGCAUUGGUGACUGGCAGGCUAGAGUAUGGCAGAGGGGGGUAGAAUUCCACGUGUAGCAGUGAAAUGCGUAGAGAUGUGGAGGAAUACCGAUGGCGAAGGCAGCCCCCUGGGCCAAUACUGACGCUCAUGCACGAAAGCGUGGGGGAGCAAACAGGAUUAGAUACCCUGGUAGUCCACGCCCUAAACGAUGUCAACUAGUUGUUGGGGAUUCAUUUCCUUAGUAACGUACUAACGCGUGGAAGUUGACCGCCUGGGGAGUACGGUCGCAAGAUUAAAACUCAAAGGAAUUGACGGGGUCAUAGCUGUUUCCU
rnacentral:rRNA from 1 species